rnacentral:rRNA from 1 species
UUCGAUGGCGAGUUUGAUCCUGGCUCAGAAUGAACGCUGGCGGUAUGCUUGAUACAUGCAAGUCGAACGAUUUUAUUAGCAUUUAUGUUAAUAAUUUAGUGGCGAACGGGUGAGUAAUACAUAAGAACUUGCCCUUAGACGAGGAAAAACAGCUGGAAACGGCUGCUAAUGCCUCAUAUUGCCGGAAGGUGAAAAAUUUAUUGUCUAAGGAUGGGCUUAUGCCUGAUUAGCUUGUUGGUGAGGUAAAAGCUUACCAAGGCGACGAUCAGUAGUUGGUCUGAGAGGAUGACCAGCCACACUGGGACUGAGAUACGGCCCAGACUCCUACGGGAGGCAGCAGUAAGGAAUUUUCCGCAAUGGGCGAAAGCCUGACGGAGCAAUACCGCGUGAAGGAUGACGGCCCAUGGGUUGUAAACUUCUUUUCUUGGAGAAGAAUUCUGACGGUAUCCAAGGAAUAAGCAUCGGCUAACUCCGUGCCAGCAGCCGCGGUAAGACGGGGGAUGCAAGCGUUAUUCGGAAUUAUUGGGCGUAAAGCGUCUGUAGGUGGUGGAAAAAGUGUAAUGUUAAAGAUCACGGCUCAACCGUGAGAAAGCAUUGCAAACUAAUUCACUUGAGUUCGGUAGGGGCAGAGAGAAUUCCCAGUGUAGCGGUGAAAUGCGUAGAUAUUGGGAGGAAGACCAGUGGCGAAGGCGUUCUGCUGGGCCGACACUGACACUGAGAGACGAAAGCUAAGGUAGCAAAUAGGAUUAGAUACCCUAGUAGUCUUAGCUGUAAAUGGUGCGCACUAUGUUUUGCAUUGCAGAGCAAAAGCUAACGCGUUAAGUGCGCCGCCUGGGGAGUACACUCGCAAGGGUGAAACUCAAAGGAAUUGACGGGGACCCGCACAAGCGGUGGAGCAUGUGGUUUAAUUCGAUGCUACGCGAAGAACCUUACCAAGGCUUGACAUGCUGCGAACGUUUAUGAAAGUAAAAAGUCCAUUAACUUUAAGUUAAUGGCGCAGACACAGGUGGUGCAUGGUUGUCGUCAGCUCGUGCCGUGAGGUGUUGGGUUAAGUCCCGCAACGAGCGCAACCCUUGUCUUUAGUUAUUUAUCUAAAGAGACUGCCGAUGAUAAAUCGGAGGAAGGUGAGGAUGACGUCAAAUCAGCAUGCCCCUUACGCCUUGGGCGACUCACGUGCUACAAUGGUUGAGACAAAGAGAUGCUACCCUGCGAAGGCAAGCUAACCUCAUAAACUCAGCCUCAGUUCGGAUUGCAGGCUGCAACUCGCCUGCAUGAAGGUGGAAUCGCUAGUAAUCGCUGGUCAGCCAUACAGCGGUGAAUACGUUCUCGGGUCUUGUACACACCGCCCGUCACACCAUGGAAGUUGGUAAUACCCGAAAUUGCGGAUCUAUCCUUUUAGGAAGAAAGUGCCUAAGGUAGGAUCAGUGACUAUGGUGAAGUCGUAACAAGGUAGCCGUACUGGAAGGUGUGGCUGGAUUACCUCCUAU